GUGCCAGCAGCCGCGGUAAUACGUAGGUGGCAAGCGUUGUCCGGAUUUAUUGGGCGUAAAGCGAGCGCAGGCGGUUUUUUAAGUCUGAUGUGAAAGCCUUCGGCUCAACCGAAGAAGUGCAUCGGAAACUGGGAAACUUGAGUGCAGAAGAGGACAGUGGAACUNCAUGUGUAGCGGUGAAAUGCGUAGAUAUAUGGAAGAACACCAGUGGCGAAGGCGGCUGUCUGGUCUGUAACUGACGCUGAGGCUCGAAAGUAUGGGUAGCAAACAGGAUUAGAUACCCUGGUAGUCCAUACCGUAAACGAUGAAUGCUAAGUGUUGGAGGGUUUCCGCCCUUCAGUGCUGCAGCUAACGCAUUAAGCAUUCCGCCUGGGGAGUACGGCCGCAAGGCUGAAACUCAAAGGAAUUGACGGGGGCCCGCACAAGCGGUGGAGCAUGUGGUUUAAUUCGAAGCUACGCGAAGAACCUUACCAGGUCUUGACAUACUAUGCAAAUCUAAGAGAUUAGACGUUCCCUUCGGGGACAUGGAUACAGGUGGUGCAUGGUUGUCGUCAGCUCGUGUCGUGAGAUGUUGGGUUAAGUCCCGCAACGAGCGCAACCCUUAUUAUCAGUUGCCAGCAUUAAGUUGGGCACUCUGGUGAGACUGCCGGUGACAAACCGGAGGAAGGUGGGGAUGACGUCAAAUCAUCAUGCCCCUUAUGACCUGGGCUACACACGUGCUACAAUGGAUGGUACAACGAGUUGCGAACUCGCGAGAGUAAGCUAAUCUCUUAAAGCCAUUCUCAGUUCGGAUUGUAGGCUGCAACUCGCCUACAUGAAGUCGGAAUCGCUAGUAAUCGCGGAUCAGCAUGCCGCGGUGAAUACGUUCCCGGGCCUUGUACACACCGCCCGU
rnacentral:rRNA from 1 species